rnacentral:rRNA from 1 species
GACGAACGCUGGCGGCGUGCUUAACACAUGCAAGUCGAACGGUGAAGCGCCUUCCUUUUUGGUGGGUGUGGAUGAGUGGCGAACGGGUGAGUAACACGUGAGUAACCUGCCCCCUUCUUCUGGAUAACCGCAUGAAAGUGUAGCUAAUACGGGAUAUUCUGCGUCUGUCGCAUGGUGGGUCUGGGAAAGAUAUUGUUUCGGUGGGGGAUGGGCUGGCGGCCUAUCAGGGUGUUGGGGGGGUGAUGGCCUUGCAAGGCGGUGAGGGGUAGCCGGCCUGAGAGGGUAGACGGUCUGAGUGGGACUGAGACACCGCUGAGACUGCGACGGGGGGCAGACGCGGACAGUAGGGAGCAGUGGGGGAAAGUGUGAUGCGGGGACGACGCGUGAGGAAUGGCGGCGCUCGGGUUGUGAAGGUCUUUCGGUAGUGAAGCAGGUCUGCCUGGGAUGAAGGGGGGGUGACGGUAGCUGGAAAAGAAGCGCCGGCUAACUACGUG